UACAGAGGUCCCAAGCGUUUGUUCGGAUUCACUGGGCGUAAAGGGUGCGCAGGUGGGCUGGCAAGUUCGAUGCCGAAAGCCCCGGGCUUAACCCGGGAAUGGCAUUGAAAACUGUCGGUCUGGAGGGUUGGAGGGGGGACUGGGAAAUUCCUGGUGUAGCGGUGAAAUGCGCAGAUAUCAGGAAGAACACCCUGGCUAAGGCGGCUCUCUAGUACGGUACUGAGCUGAGACGCGAAAGCGUGGGGGAGCGAACAG
rnacentral:rRNA from 1 species